ACAGAAUUUCCGGAGGAUGAGGCCCAGAAAUCAGGAUUUUAACAAGAUUCCCAGGUGAUUCUAAUGUGCAGCCAAGGUUGAGAACCACUGCCUGAAGGAAUGCCUCUGGGGUAAUCAUGAAUCAGCCUUUUCCUUAGCUCUUUAAAAAAAUAAAAUAAACACAGUGCCGAGUUUGGAAAACAAACCAUGCACUUCAGCAGAGGCAAGUGUGCGAUGCCAGGGCCCGGGGCCGGCCACGCUUCCACUCAGAAGCUGGGGAAAUUAGAACACACAAGACGACGGGAAGACACACGGGAAUGCCACGUCAGGACAGGAGUGGAGUGCUGCCUCUACAAGCCGAGGAAUGACGGAGAUUGCUGGCGCACCCCCAGAAGCUAGGAGGAGGCAAGGACCGAUUCCCCAGCAGGUUUCAGAGGGAGCAUGGCCCUGCCGAGAGCUUGGUUUCAGACUUCUGGCUUCUAGAACUGUGAGCAAAUAAAUUUCCACUGUUAUGA